CAGUAGCCGCGGUAAUACGAAGGGUGCAAGCGUUAAUCGGAAUUACUGGGCGUAAAGCGUGCGUAGGCGGUGAGUUAAGUCUGCUGUGAAAUCCCCGGGCUCAACCUGGGAAUGGCAGUGGAUACUGGCUCGCUAGAGUGUGUCAGAGGAUGGUGGAAUUCCCGGUGUAGCGGUGAAAUGCGUAGAGAUCGGGAGGAACAUCAGUGGCGAAGGCGGCCAUCUGGGACAACACUGACGCUGAGGCACGAAAGCGUGUGGAGCAAACAGGAUUAGAUACCCGCGUAGUCCCUGUCUCUUAUAC
rnacentral:rRNA from 1 species